CGCACCUUGCGCCCUUUGGUAUUCCGAAGGGCAUGCCCGUUCGAGUGUCUUGAAAUCAUCAUUCCUCUCGGUUUCGUGCUGGGAUGGGAUGGACUUGGAGGCUUGCUGCUGUAUAAGCGGCUCCUCUUGAAUGCAUCGGUUGCGCUUUGAGGCGUUCCUUGACGUUGUAAUCUCCCUCGUCUCGGUUUGCUUUGAGCUGACCUCGGCUUAGCCUUUGGAGUGGCGGCCAGUCUAAUUUGAAAUCUGACCUCGAAUCGGGUAGGACUACCCGCUGAACUUAA
rnacentral:misc_RNA from 1 species